UGUACUUGUUCCACCCUCAAGAAGUGGGGAGUGUAACUUUCCAUGCCUUAAGUGUAGGCUGCUCAUAAUGAUGUCCCUCCAAAGAGGAUAGUGUGGAAAGGGAGGAAAAGUCAAUCUACAGUGGAGACACUGGACAAACACUACACCAGGCAGGUAGUCAAGUCUGAGCCCUAUGAAGACCCUGUAGAUUCUGGAAGCUGUAAACUACUGUGGACUCAACCAAGGAACAGUACCAAUACCUCCUGUCAUUCCAGAUUUGUUGUCAUCGUCAUCAUUGUUAGAGGAGAGAAACACAACCUUGGGUACAUGAUUGCCUCCCCAACCUUUCUAUGGAUCCUUCCAUUUAAUUCUGCAGUUCCUGUGAGGCAAGAAGGAUCAUAACUAGAAGAAUGAUAAUUCCUUCUACAGACCUAAUUGUAAACAUCUGUGAAAUACCCUUUCCUCCACAUCAUACCACCAUUCUCCUCAAAAGCAGAGCUUCAUCUGUGAAGGAGCUGGUGGUCCUGAAUUGCUAUAGAGAAGCUGUGCUUUGGUAAAAAUUAAUACUGGUUAACAUGAUCAACUAACAAAACCUUCACUCUUACCAUCCUGGAGUGUCUAUGAUGUUAUGAGGCCUAAAGUGAUUUUAAUACUGUGGGCCCUACUUACACUCACCAGAUAGUCUCCUGCUGGGGACAGGGCUGUGUCAUUAAAAUGGAAUCUACUGAGAGAGAUGGUAGUCACAUUCACUGAAUAGAGGCACUAAAGCCAUGACCAGUAUGUUCUGGACCUUAUCUCAGCAUAUCCGCGGACUAUAUGCUUGUGGCUUUGUUCAGUUUGCUAGGUGGGACCUUUCUGCUCCAUGAAAGUUUGUAUUUGCAUUGACAUUGUGUUUGAUAUUUACAGAUGGUGGAUGUGCAGGCAUUAGAAAGGGCAGCUAGGAGGCACAGAUCUGUGUUUCUGUCACCCUUGUCCUGGGACUUGAGUGUGCCUUAUAGACUGAAUGUUUACAUCCUUCAGAAAUUCAUCUGUUGAAACCUAAUCCCCAGUGUGAUAGUUUGAGGAAGUGGGGCCUUUCAGAGGUCAUGAGUCAUGAGGGUGGAGCCCCUCUGCGUGGGAUUGAUGCCUUUAUAAUAGAGACCCCAGAGAGUUCCUUUGCCCCAUCUACUAUGUGGCACAGCAAGAAGACGGCCAUCUAUGAACCAGAGAGCAUACCUCACCAGGUAUCAAAUCUGCCAAUACUGUGAUCUUGUACUUCCCACACUCCAGAACUGUGUGAAAUAAUUAUUUGUUGUUUAAGUCCCCCAGGCUAUGGUAUUUUUGCUAUAGCAGCUCAAAGGGGCUAAGAGAGCAUGUCACUGAAUCUCAUAGAGCCUUGGCUGGCACCACUGUACAACUGGAGCUAAUGCGUGUCCUUGAGAGCAGAGAAGGACCCACUCACAAAGGAACUCUGAGGACAUCGCCAAGACUCGGUGUAUGUGGAAAGGGCACUUUUGACAAAAGUCUCUUUCCAUUCUCUGCACUCUAGACCCCCUCAAGGUUGAGGGGGUCGGGUUGGGUGGCCAAUCUUCCUGUGCUCCACCCUCAACUCUCUGCUCAUUGGCCCCACCCCUUGCCUUCCUGAGCCAUCACCAAGCUACCGUUAGUGCUGGAAACUUCUUGACCAUGGCCAUCUUGGAGAAACUCAGCCAUGUAGAGGCCCUAUGGGGGCCAUCAUGGACGCUGAAGUGUUAAGAAGCUGCCCACUCCCUUUUGAGGAACACAACACACCUGGGGUUUUAAUGAA